rnacentral:piRNA from 1 species
UUUGUCCGAACGAUAUGAUGUGUAAAC